rnacentral:lncRNA from 1 species
AAAUUCAGCACUAAAGUAUUAAAUGUUCACCCAAGUUAUGUCAGGGUGAUUACCCAAAUUAACUUACCAUUUGUCUGUGAUAUCAGGCUUGUUAACGACAUUGUCUUUGUGCAGGAAUGCCCGUUUAUUGAAAAGCUAUGUGCCACUGAGCUUGUUCUUGCUUCCAAAUAUGGUGCUGCUCUCAUGAAUAUUGAUAAGGUCUUCCAUCUCUUCAUGGUAGUUUUGUAUGUUUGUGCAGGUCUUCCAGAUUACACAUAG